AAACGAACGCUAAUACCGCAUACGUCCUACGGGAGAAAGCAGGGGACCUUCGGGCCUUGCGCUAUCAGAUGAGCCUAGGUCGGAUUAGCUAGUUGGUGAGGUAAUGGCUCACCAAGGCGACGAUCCGUAACUGGUCUGAGAGGAUGAUCAGUCACACUGGAACUGAGACACGGUCCAGACUCCUACGGGAGGCAGCAGUGGGGAAUAUUGGACAAUGGGCGAAAGCCUGAUCCAGCCAUGCCGCGUGUGUGAAGAAGGUCUUCGGAUUGUAAAGCACUUUAAGUUGGGAGGAAGGGCCAUUACCUAAUACGUGAUGGUUUUGACGUUACCGACAGAAUAAGCACCGGCUAACUCUGUGCCAGCAGCCGCGGUAAUACAGAGGGUGCAAGCGUUAAUCGGAAUUACUGGGCGUAAAGCGCGCGUAGGUGGUUUGUUAAGUUGGAUGUGAAAGCCCCGGGCUCAACCUGGGAACUGCAUUCAAAACUGACUAGCUAGAGUAUGGUAGAGGGUGGUGGAAUUUCCUGUGUAGCGGUGAAAUGCGUAGAUAUAGGAAG
rnacentral:rRNA from 2 species